rnacentral:rRNA from 1 species
AUGAACGCUGGCGGCGUGCCUAAUACAUGCCAGUCGAGCGAACGGACGAGAAGCUUGCUUCUCUGAUGUUAGCGGCGGACGGGUGAGUAACACGUGGAUAACCUACCUAUAAGACUGGGAUAACUUCGGGAAACCGGAGCUAAUACCGGAUAAUAUUUUGAACCGCAUGGUUCAAAAGUGAAAGACGGUCUUGCUGUCACUUAUAGAUGGAUCCGCGCUGCAUUAGCUAGUUGGUAAGGUAACGGCUUACCAAGGCAACGAUGCAUAGCCGACCUAAGAGGGUGAUCGGCCACACUGGAACUGAGACACGGUCCAGACUCCUACGGGAGGCAGCAGUAGGGAAUCUUCCGCAAUGGGCGAAAGCCUGACGGAGCAACGCCGCGUGAGUGAUGAAGGUCUUCGGAUCGUAAAACUCUGUUAUUAGGGAAGAACAUAUGUGUAAGUAACUGUGCACAUCUUGACGGUACCUAAUCAGAAAGCCACGGCUAACUACGUG